CAGCACAUCAAGUGGUCAGGAUGAUUAUUGGGCCUAAAGCAUCCGUAGCCGGCGCUGUAAGUUUUCGGUUAAAUCUGUACGCUCAACGUACAGGCUGCCGGGAAUACUGCAGCGCUAGGGAGUGGGAGAGGUAGACGGUACUCGGUAGGAAGGGGUAAAAUCCUUUGAUCUAUUGAUGACCACCUGUGGCGAAGGCGGUCUACCAGAACACGUCCGACGGUGAGGGAUGAAAGCUGGGGGAGCAAACCGGAUUAGAUACCCGAGUAGUCC
rnacentral:rRNA from 1 species